ACUUGGAGAAGUGCAACUUGCAGCAUGACAUGCUGGCUUUUCUCGCUGUGGAUUCGGUUCAGGGUUUUGCUCCAAAUCAAAAUGAUCUGGGAACUGGUUCUUCAAAAGAUUGAGUCUCUCACUUGGCCUUCUCCAGAAUGACAUGGGGAAAUGGAAGGAGAAAAAAAAAAACAAUGCUAAAAAGCCUAGAGAUGACCACAUAUGAAACGACCAUGUGUGUAAAGGAUUGCUGGAAAAUAAAUCAGAGAUGGCCUGGAUUCUGCCAUGUAAAUCAAAGAAGAGAGGGCCUAACUCAGCUGCCUAGCCUGGAUCACCUGGAACCCAUUAGGAUACAGGAUCAUAAACACCUCUAUUUUCCCUUCAGAGAGAGACCAGAACCACUGGAGUUAAGCUACCUGCAUAAGAGCUUGGGUCCCAGCUCCAAAAUGUCUCAUUAUCUGUAUUUGAAUAUCCCCAAAUUUGAAAAAUUCAAAAUCUGAAACACUUCUGAUCCCAAGCAUUUCAGACUCCUAAGAGUUAAUACGAAGUAGAAAGAGAAGUUGGAGUUAAGCAGCUCGUUCCAGUUCUGAUUUUGCCAUUUCCUGUCUGAGUGACCUGACUUCCCUCUCUGCCUCCAGCCAUGACUGUAAGUUUCCUGAGGCCCUCACCAGAAGCCGAGCAGAUGUUGGUGCCAUGCUUAUACAGCCUGAAGAACUGUGAGCUGAUUAAAUUUAUUUUCUUUAUAAAUUACCCAGCCUCAGGUGUUUCUU
rnacentral:lncRNA from 1 species